UACGUAGGGUGCGAGCGUUGUCCGGAAUUAUUGGGCGUAAAGAGCUUGUAGGCGGUUUGUCGCGUCUGCUGUGAAAACCCGCGGCUCAACCGCGGGCCUGCAGCCGAUACGGGCAGGCUGGAGUUCGGUAGGGGAGACUGGAAUUCCUGGUGUAGCGGUGAAAUGCGCAGAUAUCAGGAGGAACACCGAUGGCGAAGGCAGGUCUCUGGGCCGAUACUGACGCUGAGGAGCGAAGGCGUGGGGAGCGAACAGG
rnacentral:rRNA from 1 species